GCUUUUCCCAUCAGCAGCACUUAUACUAAAGCUGGAACAAGAAGAAUUGCAUGACCCCUAUGCAAGGACGACAUGCAAAUUCAUGAAGGGUCCCAUUUUUUU